GGCGGCGUGCCUAAUACAUGCAAGUAGAACGCUGAAGGAGGAGCCUGCUUCUCCGGAUGAGUUGCGAACGGGUGAGUAACGCGUAGGUAACCUGCCUGGUAGCGGGGGAUAACUAUUGGAAACGAUAGCUAAUACCGCAUAAGAGUAGAUGUUGCAUGACAUUUGCUUAAAAGGUGCAAUUGCAUCACUACCAGAUGGACCUGCGUUGUAUUAGCUAGUUGGUGGGGUAACGGCUCACCAAGGCGACGAUACAUAGCCGACCUGAGAGGGUGAUCGGCCACACUGGGACUGAGACACGGCCCAGACUCCUACGGGAGGCAGCAGUAGGGAAUCUUCGGCAAUGGACGGAAGUCUGACCGAGCAACGCCGCGUGAGUGAAGAAGGUUUUCGGAUCGUAAAGCUCUGUUGUAAGAGAAGAAACGAGUGUCCCUAGUGGAAAAGUUUCAACACUGUGAA
rnacentral:rRNA from 1 species